rnacentral:rRNA from 1 species
GUGCGUAACGCGUGGGAAUCUGCCCUCAGGUUCGGAAUAACAGCGAGAAAUUGCUGCUAAUACCGGAUGAUAUCGCGAGAUCAAAGAUUUAUCGCCUGAGGAUGAGCCCGCGUAGGAUUAGCUAGUUGGUGUGGUAAAGGCGCACCAAGGCGACGAUCCUUAGCUGGUCUGAGAGGAUGAUCAGCCACACUGGGACUGAGACACGGCCCAGACUCCUACGGGAGGCAGCAGUGGGGAAUAUUGGACAAUGGGCGAAAGCCUGAUCCAGCAAUGCCGCGUGAGUGAUGAAGGCCUUAGGGUUGUAAAGCUCUUUUACCCGGGAUGAUAAUGACAGUACCGGGAGAAUAAGCUCCGGCUAACUCCGUGCCAGCAGCCGCGGUAAUACGGAGGGAGCUAGCGUUAUUCGGAAUUACUGGGCGUAAAGCGCACGUAGGCGGCUUUGUAAGUUAGAGGUGAAAGCCUGGAGCUCAACUCCAGAAUUGCCUUUAAGACUGCAUCGCUUGAAUCCAGGAGAGGUGAGUGGAAUUCCGAGUGUAGAGGUGAAAUUCGUAGAUAUUCGGAAGAACACCAGUGGCGAAGGCGGCUCACUGGACUGGUAUUGACGCUGA